rnacentral:rRNA from 1 species
UACGAGGGGGGCAAGCGUUGUUCGGAAUUAUUGGGCGUAAAGGGCGCGUAGGCGGCCCGGUAAGUCAAAGGUGAAAUCCCUCGGCUCAACUGAGGAACUGCCUUUGAAACUGUCGGGCUUGAGGCCGGGAGGGGGUAGCGGAAUUCCCAGUGUAGCGGUGAAAUGCGUAGAUACUGGGAGGAACACCAGUGGCGAAGGCGGCUACCUGGACCGGUUCUGACGCUGAGGCGCGAAAGCGUGGGUAGCAAACAGG